UCGGAGCGGUUGGGCUGUGCUGCGGGGUGGUGUGGGUUUAAUCGCAGCGGCGUGGGCUGCAGUCUGCAGUCUCCUCCCUCGAGGCAGCAGGAUAAGAUAAAUCGUGGUACUCCUGCAGCCCGUUUGGUUUAUCUGAUCCCCGGGGUAUGUGGGGCCGGCUGACCCUCUCUGCUAAACCCACCUUUGCAGCCGGUGAUUGUCUCCGUUGGGAAGCAGCGGCUCUGCAGCUGGGCACAGCCUGCUGUGUGGUGGCAGAGGAUGGAGGGCUUCUCAUCAUCCCACCUGGCCCGGGCUGCUCUGCGCAGAAAGAAGAGAUGGGGAAAGGAGCUGCACCCAGCGUGCCCUGUCAGUGCUGUGCCUCGAGGUCACACGUGGUCACACCAUCGAGUUUGUGAUGGUGACAAGCCAGAGCCCAAAAAGAGCAAGCAACAGACAGAGUUUUUCUCCGGAACCUGAGCCCAUGACACUCUUGUUCAUUUCUAGUCGUCACAAAUGGCUGGAGGUAUCAAUGGGCUCCAGCCAGAGCAAUAGGUGAAGGGGCUGAAGGACAGGUGGCCUUCCAAGCAGGAAGAUGCCAGCUGCUCCCUCAAAGCAGCCGGAUUCUCUACUGGAACACAGCCCCACAGAUAUCUCAUCAGUGCUCUUCUGCUGCUGGGAGAGAAACCAGCAGCCACCCAGCAUCAGUUAGUCUGCUCCAGCAGAGGCUAAGCGGGUGUCAAUUCAGUCAUAAAUGCCAUGUUGCUCUAAGCACAUACACCAAAGAUGCUGAAGCCAAAGGCCUUUCCUACCAUGCCAAAUGAACAGCUCAUGUAAUAAAUGGGCAGUCUUCAGAUUAAUUGUUCUCAGUAUGAACAAACAGAAAUGCAAUUUAAUUCAGCAUCAAAUGGUUGAGUUUUGCUGUUUAUCCUCCACUGCUAGGAAACUGGACCAGAGAACACAGAUGAGGCAGAUCACAGUGCUAUAGUAAUAAUUCCUUUCAGAGUUUAUUUCUGCCUUGUUUUUCCACUAUUCUCUUUUUUUAAAGGACAUGCACUUGGAGGAAAUAGCCCUUAGUCUGCAAAGAAGGAAGAGAGAACAUUGGGCUGAGGAGCUCCUCUUCUCACACCAAAAUGACUAGAGGUCACACCAGAUGCUUGCCCAGCAUCAGCUGGAUGGGAGAUGUCUGGUGAUGAUGAUCCUGUCAAAAGAACAUUUUCUGGUUCGGUGACUCAGAAAUUCCUCAGCUAUUCCUCCCGCUGACUCUGCAGGAUACACAAUUUCAUCCUAAGAGUAAACUGUUAAGCUUGUACCAGAAGCUGACGGAGGAUGCAGAAGUUGGCUUUCAGAUGACAAGGCUUUUCAGGUAACACAAUUGCCUGCCUUCCACACGAGACUGUAGGGGCUGAAGCAUGGACCAAAUGCCAGGCUAGCGAGAGACCCUCACUUCAAUGCUGAGCAUCAAGAAGAGUGGGCCAGUGCCCCAAAGAAGGACUCAGACCAUGGAUAGGAGGUGCUCCCUCACUGCACAUGGGGGAAAAACACCAGAAUCUCACAGGUUUUGCAGCUCUUCCUACCAGCUGUUAAAGACAGACAAGGGACCAGUACCACCUUCAAAAGGGUACAAGAUGCUCCUUUGGCAGUUGAAGAAAACCAGCAAAUGCAGAUCCAAACUACAGUUAUGCCACGGAUCUUACAUUUUCCAAAGUGACUGUCUCCUUCAGGCAACAUCAAGGACUCAUCUGACAAUACAAGCAGCACUCUUUGUCUGAAUUCUCAUCUUAAAGCACAUGACUUCCUUUUUUUAAUUAAGUUGCUAACUUAAUAACAGCCCUGUCUUUUAGAGUGCCAAUUUAAUGCCUGUAGAUAAAAUAUGAUGCAGUUAUUAAAGAGCAGGUAGCAGCACACCCCAUCAUCUCCCUGAGUGAAGUGUGGGCCAAUCCAUCACAACAUAAGACAUUGUGUUCCAGCUGGUGCAAGGGAGUAGCAGAUGGGGAUGGGGAGUGCAUUUCCAAACACAGAGCUAGUCGGUGGUGGUGCAAUUUAUCUGGGACAUACAAUUAGUUCAGGAAAAGCAGAGAGGUUUGAAUAAAUGAAAUGAAUUUUGUGUAAGUGGGCCUUGUCUGCAUGCAGAAAUCUUAUUGGUAUAACUCCAGCAAAAUUGUACAGAUCUGGGUGUGAAGCCCUAUUUAGAUACUUUCACUUGGUUUCAGGGUGACUGAAUUACCAACGUCAUCCAUACUCAGACAGCCAAAGAACCUUUUGCAUAAGCUUAACCUUUGCAACAUAUUCCUGUACCUGAUACUGUCACAGCUUUAUUCUCUAGUAUGUUAACAUAAGACUGCUGUUUCUUCUGAGCAAGUUCCACUUCGUUUUUCAGAUUCAUGUAUCCCCUGGGCCUCCCUGAAUCUGCUGAGCCCACAGAGAAAUGCAUUUUAGUUCAGUGAAUUCAUUGAGGUCCUCACUGCAUCAUGAAGACAGAAACCUGAGCUUCCUCCCAUUGCCAAGCCAAGCAGAUUUCAAAUGCUGGAAGCAUCCUGGUUCUGAAGCCUGCGUCCUGAAGGUAGCAAAGAAAGACAGUCUACUUUCUGCAGGGUUCAACCUUAUAGACGUUCUCAAACAGAGCAAAAAACUGAUGGGUAUUGCUUCUGUUGGGGAAAAAAAUAGCAGCGCUGUUUAUAACAAUGGCUUUAUUUUUCUCCAUUGGAGAGAUUUGAAAUGCAGAAUAGUCAGCAUUCCACAAUUUCUGCCCACAAGCAAAUAUGAGAUGGCUCCAAGAUGCUUUACUUCCUUGUAAUGCAGAAAAUUUCUGCAUUAAGAAAGCAUUAGAAGCAUUAGAAGCCAAUUUUCUGAAAACUGGAGAUGCAGCAGCGCACACAGCCCUUGGAGAGGAACCUUGUAAAGACAAGUGGAAGUGGAAGUAAAUCAGGCUGCGCUGGAAACUGAUGGGAACCCAUAGCAAUGAACAGAGUGAUUGUUUCAAAUAAAUAGUUAAAACUUAAAAAUACUAAGUUUUUCCAGGAGAUCAUCCCAUAACCAAUACUAGAAGGUGUUUUUCAGCCUCUGAUUAAGCUAUGUGUCUUUACAGGCAUUUGGAUACACUACAGUCAUUUUAACAAUUCUUCUCAUUAUAAAGCAUGUGCAGAAAUAUUUGCUGAUACAUGCUUUUGCAGCUUUUUUGA